AGUGAACGCUGGCGGUAGGCCUAACACAUGCAAGUCGAACGGCAGCACAGUAAGAGCUUGCUCUUACGGGUGGCGAGUGGCGGACGUGUGAGGAAUACAUCGGAAUCUACUUUUUCGUGGGGGAUAACGUAGGGAAACUUACUCUAAUACCGCAUACGACCUACGGGUGAAAGCAGGGGAUCUUCGCACCUUGCGCGAUUGAAUGAGCCGAUGUCGGAUUAGCUAGUUGGCGGGGUAAAGGCCCACCAAGGGGACGAUCCGUAGCUGGUCUGAGAGGAUGAUCGGCCACACUGGAACUGAGACACGGUCAAGACUCCUACGAGAGGCAGCAGUGGGGAAUAUUGGACAAUGGGCGCAAGCCUGAUCCAGCCAUACCGCGUGGGUGAAGAAGGCCUUCGGGUUGUAAAGCCCUUUUGUUGGGAAAGAAAAGCAGCAGGUUAAUACCCCGCUGUUCUGACGGUACCCAAAGAAUAAGCACCGGCUAACUUCGUG
rnacentral:rRNA from 1 species